rnacentral:rRNA from 1 species
GAAAGGCGCGCGAUACAGGGUGACAGCCCCGUACACAAAAAUGCACAUGCUGUGAGCUCGAUGAGUAGGGCGGGACACGUGGUAUCCUGUCUGAAUAUGGGGGGACCAUCCUCCAAGGCUAAAUACUCCUGACUGACCGAUAGUGAACCAGUACCGUGAGGGAAAGGCGAAAAGAACCCCGGCGAGGGGAGUGAAAAAGAACCUGAAACCGUGUACGUACAAGCAGUGGGAGCACGCUUAGGCGUGUGACUGCGUACCUUUUGUAUAAUGGGUCAGCGACUUAUAUUCUGUAGCAAGGUUAACCGAAUAGGGGAGCCGAAGGGAAACCGAGUCUUAACUGGGCGUUAAGUUGCAGGGUAUAGACCCGAAACCCGGUGAUCUAGCCAUGGGCAGGUUGAAGGUUGGGUAACACUAACUGGAGGACCGAACCGACUAAUGUUGAAAAAUUAGCGGAUGACUUGUGGCUGGGGGUGAAAGGCCAAUCAAACCGGGAGAUAGCUGGUUCUCCCCGAAAGCU